rnacentral:rRNA from 1 species
AGUGGCGAACUGGUGAGUAACACGUGGGUAACCUGCCCCGAAGCGGGGGAUAACAUUUGGAAACAAGUGCUAAUACCGCAUAAUUAGUUGGAACCGCAUGGUUCCAACUUGAAAGAUGGCUCUGCUAUCACUUUGGGAUGGACCCGCGCCGUAUUAGUUAGUUGGUGAGAUAAAAGCCCACCAAGACGAUGAUACGUAGCCGACCUGAGAGGGUAAUCGGCCACAUUGGGACUGAGACACGGCCCAGACUCCUACGGGAGGCAGCAGUAGGGAAUCUUCCACAAUGGACGAAAGUCUGAUGGAGCAACGCCGCGUGAGUGAUGAAGGUUUUCGGAUCGUAAAACUCUGUUGUUAAAGAAGAACAAGUGUUAGAGUAACUGUUAACACUUUGACGGUAUUUAACCAGAAAGCCACGGCUAACUACGUGCCAGCAGCCGCGGUAAUACGUAGGUGGCAAGCGUUGUCCGGAUUUAUUGGGCGUAAAGCGAGCGCAGGCGGUUUUGUAAGUCUGCUGUGAAAGCCCUCAGCUCAACUGAGGAAGUGCAGUGGAAACUACAAAACUUGAGUACAGAAGAGGAAAGUGGAACUCCAUGUGUAGCGGUGAAAUGCGUAGAUAUAUGGAAGAACACCAGUGGCGAAGGCGGCUUUCUGGUCUGUUACUGACGCUGAGGCUCGAAAGCAUGGGUAGCGAACAGGAUUAGAUACCCUGGUAGUCCAUGCCGUAAACGAUGAAUACUAGGUGUUGGAGGGUUUCCGCCCUUCAGUGCCGCAGCUAACGCAUUAAGUAUUCCGCCUGGGGAGUACGACCGCAAGGUUGAAACUCAAAGGAAUUGACGGGGGCCCGCACAAGUGGUGGAGCAUGUGGUUUAAUUCGAUGCUACGCGAAGAACCUUACCAGCUCUUGACAUCUUCUGCCAACCCAAGAGAUUGGGCGUUCCCUUCGGGGACAGAAUGACAGGUGGUGCAUGGUUGUCGUCAGCUCGUGUCGUGAGAUGUUGGGUUAAGUCCCGCAACGAGCGCAACCCUUAUUAUUAGUUGCCAGCAUUUAGUUGGGCACUCUAGUGAGACUGCCGGUGAUAAACCGGAGGAAGGUGGGGACGACGUCAAAUCAUCAUGCCCCUUAUGAGCUGGGCUACACACGUGCUACAAUGGAUGGUACAACGAGUCGCGAAACCGCGAGGUCAAGCUAAUCUCUUAAAGCCAUUCUCAGUUCGGAUUGCAGGCUGCAACUCGCCUGCAUGAAGUUGGAAUCACUAGUAAUCGUGGAUCAGCAUGCCACGGUGAAUACGUUCCCGGGCCUUGUACACACCGCCCGUCACACCAUGAGAG